rnacentral:rRNA from 2 species
AACGAGUGGCGGACGGGUGAGUAACACGUGGGUAACCUGCCCUUAAGUGGGGGAUAACAUUUGGAAACAGAUGCUAAUACCGCAUAAAUCCAAGAACCGCAUGGUUCUUGGCUGAAAGAUGGCGUAAGCUAUCGCUUUUGGAUGGACCCGCGGCGUAUUAGCUAGUUGGUGAGGUAACGGCUCACCAAGGCAAUGAUACGUAGCCGAACUGAGAGGUUGAUCGGCCACAUUGGGACUGAGACACGGCCCAAACUCCUACGGGAGGCAGCAGUAGGGAAUCUUCCACAAUGGACGCAAGUCUGAUGGAGCAACGCCGCGUGAGUGAAGAAGGCUUUCGGGUCGUAAAACUCUGUUGUUGGAGAAGAAUGGUCCGGCAGAGUAACUGUUGUCGGCGUGACGGUAUCCAAC